AUGCCAAUAAAACUGGAAUAUCACUGGUGCUCUAAAAACCAGAAAUCUUUGAUGCCACCUUGGGAAGCAGAAGGACCCCAGGAAGCCUGGCUUCCUGUCGUGAUCAGUUUGAGGACCGCCUGCAGAAAUGCAGACUCAGCAAAGCGGCGCUCACCACGGGAGAGCCUGCAAAAGGUCAGGGGGAAGGGAGGCAAAGGCAGCCCCACAGAGGUGCCCUGCAUAUUCACACACAGACACGCUGGAAGCAUCCGGCACAGAGCAGAAAAGGUGGUAGAUCUAAGACUGAAAAGCAAAAGCAACAAGGGUGAGCCCGGAGAACAUUAUGGUAAGUGAAAAAAGCCAGACAUAGACACUGCAUAGAUACUGCAUAGAUACUGCAUGAUCUCACUUUCUACGUGGAAUCUAAGAAAGUCAUAGGGCCAGAGUAGAAUGGUAGUUGCUGGAGAUGGCAGGCGGGGUGGGGGCAACGGGGAGAUAUUUGUCAGAGGGCAUACAUUUUUAUAAGUUUCAUAAGAUGAUGAAGCUCUGGGGAUCUGAUGUAUGGUGUAGUGGCUAUAGUUAGUGAGACUAGAGAGUACACUUGAAAUUUGCUAAUAGAGCAGAUCUUAAGCGUUCUCAUCACCACCAUCCUUCCAAAAAAAGGUAACUAUGUAAGGUGAUGGAUGUAUUAAUUGACUUGAUUAUGACAUUCAUUUCACAAUAGAUACAUAUGUUAUUAUUUAGAUUUUAUUUAUUUAUUCAUGAGAGACACACACAGAAAGGCAGACACAUAGGCAGAGGGAGAAGCAGAUUCUCUGCAGGGAGACUGAUGUAGGACUCAACUCCAGGACCAUGGGAUCACACCUUGAGCCCAAGGCAGACACUAGACCACUGAGCCACCCAGGUGCCCUAAUAUAUACAUAUAUUAAGUCCUCAUUGUACAGUUAAAAAAAUCACCUUGUAUAAUCCUAAAAAAAGCAACUUGAUUGGUUUAGGGGUGCCAGAAAAUUUUUUAAAAUUAUUUUUUCAAAAUUUUAUUUUAUUAUUUUUAUUUAUUUAUUUAAAGAUUUUUUAUUUUUUAUUUUUUUUUAAGAUUUUUUUAAAAAGGGAUUUUAUUUGUUUACUCAUGAGACACACACACACACAGAGGCAAAGAUACAGGCAGAGGGAGAAGCAGGCUCCAUGCAGGGAGCCCGACUCAAUCCCGGGUCUCCAGGAUCAUGCCCUGGCUGAAGGGGGCGCUAAACCGCUGAGCCACUCGGGCUGCCCUGGCAGCCCUAUUUUAUUUUUAUUUUUAAAGAGAUUUUAUUUAUUCAUUCAUGAGAGACACAGAGAGAGACGCAGAGACAUAGGCAGAAAAAGCAUGCUCCCUGCAGGGAGCCUGAUGUGGGACUCGAUCCCCAGACCCAGGGAUCAUGCCCUGAGCCAAAGGCAGAUGCUCAAACGCUGAGCCACCCAGAUGCCCCUAUUUUAUUUUUAAGAUUUUAUUUAUUUAUUUGAGAGACAGACUGAGAGAGAGCAAGUACGUGGUGGGGAGGGGCAGAGGGAGAGGGAGAAGCAGAUUCCCUCCUGAGUUGGAAGUCUGACAUGGGGUUCAAUCCUAGUAUGUCAUGUAUGUGACCCAAGCAGACACUUAACCAACUGAGCCACCCAGGCAUCCCAAGGUGUUUUUUUUUUUUUUUCAGUAAUUUCUACACCCAAUGUGGGGCUCAAACUCAUGACCCUGAGACCAAGAGUUGCAUGCUCUUCUGACUGAGACAGCAGGGUUUCCAGAAACUUUAAAAGUCUAUUUAUUUCCUUUUAGAAAAGAAUGUACUCAUGAAAAAAUGUUUCACGUCACUUGACAUCCAGGAAAUACAAAUCAAAACCACAAUGAGAUACCACCUUAUACCAGUCAGAAUGGCAAAAAUUAACAAGUCAGGAAACAACAGAUCUUGGCGAGGAUGCAGAGACCAGCAAUUGCACUACAAUCCAGUAAUUGCACUACUGGGUAUUUACUCCAAGGAUACAAAUGUAUCCUGAAUCUGAAGGGGCACCUACACUCCAAUGUUUAUAACAGCAAUGUCCAUAAUAGCCAAACAAUGGUAAGAGCCCAGAUGUCUGUCAACAGUUGAAUGGAUAAAGAAGAUGUGGUAUAUACCUAUGCAAUGGAAUAUUACUCAGCAUCACAAAAUGAAAUCUUGCCAUUUUAAAUGACGUGGAUGGAACUAGAUGGUAUUAUGCUAAGUGAAAUAAGUCAAUCAGAGAAAGACAGGUAUCAUCUGAUCUCACUCAUAUGUGGAAUUUAAGAAUCAAAACAGAGGAUCAUAGGGGAGGAAAGGAAAAAAUAAAACAAGAUGAAAUCAGAGAGGGAGACAAACCAUAAGAGACUUAAUCAUAGGAAACAAACUGAGGGGAGUGGGGAGACUGGGUAACUGGGUGAUGGGCAUUAAGGAGGGCAGGUGAUACAAUGAGCACUGGGUACUAUAUAAGACUUUUGAAUCAUGACUUCUACCUCUGAAACCAACAAUACAUUAUAGGUGAAUUAACUGAAUUUAAAUUAUAGAAAAGAAACAAAUAUUUGCCUUUAUUCCAAAGGAAAAAUAAUCUUUUGCUUGUUUGUUAAAGUUUUACAUUUUUAUUUAUUUUUAAAUUGGGAUAAAAUUCACAUAAGAUUAACCAUUUUAAAAUUUUUAUUUAUUUAUUUUAAAUAUUUAUUUAUUUUUUUAGAGAGAGGGAGAGCACACAGCAGGGGGAGGGGAAGAGGCAGGGAGAGAAUCUCAAGCAGACUCCUGGCUGAAUGCAGAGCCUGACACAAGGCUUGAUCUCAUGACCCCCACUUAACUGAUUGAGCCCCAUAGGUGCCCCAACCAAUAUUUUUUAAGAUUUUAUUUUUUAUUUUUAUCUUAAAUAUUUAAUUUAUUUAUUUGACAGAUAGAGCGCAAGAAAGCCCAAGCAGGGGGAGUAGCAGAAGGAGAGGGAGAAAGGACGCCAUGGUGGGACACAAUCUCAGAACCCCAGGAUCAUUACUUGAGCUGUAGGCAGGUGAUUAACCAACUGAGCCACCCAGGUACUCUUAAAUAUUUUAUUUUUAAAUAAUCUCUAAACUCACUGUGGGGCUUGAACUUACAACCCUAAGAUGAAGAGUCACAAGCUCCACUGACUGAGUCAGUCAACAGGUUUUAUCCAACGUUUGGCUAUUAUAAGUUAUGCUGCUAUGAACAUUCUUGUGUAUGCCUUUUUUUUUAAUUUAAGAUUUUAUUUAUUCAUGAGAGACACACAGAGAGAGGCAGACAUAUAGGCAGAGGGAGAAGCAUUCUCCCUGAGGCGAGCCUGAUGUGGGACUCAAUCCCAAGACCCUGGGAUCACACCUUGAGCCAAAGGCAGACACUGAACCACUGAGCCAUCCAGGUGCCCUUGUACAUUCUUAAUUUUACUGUAAUUAAAUUUAGUGUUUUCCUUUUGGUUAGUAUUUUUGUGUGUGUGCUAUUAAAGAAGUCCUUCUUGGGCAGCCCCAGUGGCUCAGCGGUUUGGUGCUGCCUUCAGCCCGGGGUGUGAUCCUGGGGACCUGGAAUCGAGUCCCACGUCCGGCUCCCUGCGUGGAGCCUGCUUCUCCCUCUGCCUGUGUCUCUGCCUCUCUCUCUAUGUCUCUCAUGAAUGAAUAAAUAAAAUCUUAAAAAAAUUAUUAAAAAAAAAAAAGAAGUCCUUCUAAUCCUUGGGUUGUAAAGAGAGUUUUGGGGACUAUCUCCUGGUUCUGAAUUGUCCAAUAUAGUAGCUACUUGUCACUUUUUUUUUUUAACUUUUAUUUAUUUAUGAUAGUCACACACAGAGAGAGAGAGAGGCAGAGACACAGGCAGAGGGAGAAGCAGGCUCCAUGCACCGGAAGCCCGACGUGGGAUUCGAUCCUGGAUCCCCAGGAUCGCGCCCUGGGCCAAAGGCAGGCGCUAAACCGCUGCACCACCCAGGGAUCCCUACUUGUCACUUUUUUUUUUUUUUAAUAUUUUUUAUUUAUUCAUAGAGACAGAGAGAGAGAGAGGCAGAGACACAGGCAGAAGGAGAAGCAGGCAUCAUACAGAGAGCCUGAUGUGGGACUCGAUCCAGGGUCUCCAGGAUCACGCCCCGGGCUGCAGGCGGCGCUAAACCACUGCGCCACAGGGGCUGCCCUACUUGUCACUUUUGAAAUGAGAAUUAAAAUGAAAUAAAAUGAAAAAAAUCAGUCUCUUAGUUCUUUAACUACCUGCCCUAUUGAACUUCUUGGUGGAGGUGGUGACCUCCUAACUGACACAUUCCUUAUGGCCUGGUAAAUACUAUGUCCUUUGAGCCUUUCUGUGAGACACAACAAACAUCUAGUGAGUCUUGCAAUUCAGUGUUCCUAAUACCUUUCAACUCACUUCACCUUCUAUCACGGCAAUACUGGAUCCUUACCCGAACAUUAAGUCCUGUAUCUCCGCAGAGCACUCUCAAGUCAACAAGACUCCUCUUGGGCAGCCCCGGUGGCCCAGCGGAUUGGCACCUGCCUUCAGCCCAGGGCAUGAUCCUGGAGACCUGGGAUCAAGUCCCACAUCGGGCUCCCCCCAUGGAGCCUGCUUCUCCCUCUGCCUAUGUCUCUGUCUCUCAUAACUAAAUAAAAAUCCUUAAAAAAAAAAAAAACAAGACUCCUCUUUACCCAAUUUUAUCUUCUCCUCCUCCUUUUAAAUUUAUUUAUUUAUUUAUUUUUAAAGAUUUAUUUAUUCAUGAGAGACACACAGAGAGAGAGGCAGAGACAUAGGCAGAGGGAGAAGCAGGCUCCUCACAAGAGCCUGAUGUGGGACUCAAUCCCCGAUUCCAGGAUCAUGACCCGAGCUGAAGGCAGCUGCCCAACCGCUGAGCCAUCCAGGCGUAACUUUUAAAUUUAUUUAUGAGAGAGAAAGAGAGACAGAGAACAAGAAUGAGCAGUGGGAGGGGCAGAGGGAGAGAGACAGAGAGAAUAAGAUUUCCCGGUGAGAAGGAAGCCUGAUGGGGAACUUGAUUCCAGGACCUGGAAAUCACAAUCCAAGCCAAAGGCAGACACAACCAAUUGAGCCUCUCAGGUGCCCCUGUUCUGGCCCC
rnacentral:lncRNA from 1 species